rnacentral:rRNA from 1 species
GAUGAACGCUGGCGGCGUGCCUAAUACAUGCAAGUCGAGCGAACGGACGAGAAGCUUGCUUCUCUGAUGUUAGCGGCGGACGGGUGAGUAACACGUGGAUAACCUACCUAUAAGACUGGGAUAACUUCGGGAAACCGGAGCUAAUACCGGAUAAUAUUUUGAACCGCAUGGUUCAAAAGUGAAAGACGGUCUUGCUGUCACUUAUAGAUGGAUCCGCGCUGCAUUAGCUAGUUGGUAAGGGAACGGCUUACCAAGGCAACGAUGCAUAGCCGACCUGAGAGGGUGAUCGGACACACUGGAACUGAGACACGGUCCAGACUCCUACGGGAGGCAGCAGUAGGGAAUCUUCCGCAAUGGGCGAAAGCCUGACGGAGCAACGCCGCGUGAGUGAUGAAGGUCUUCGGAUCGUAAAACUCUGUUAUUAGGGAAGAACAUAUGUGUAAGUAACUGUGCACAUCUUGACGGUACCUAAUCAGAAAGCCACGGCUAACUACGUG